rnacentral:lncRNA from 1 species
ACCAUGCAUUGUCAUCUCUGUAGCGGGCUGCUUUUACCUGGCCAAGUUCUGAAUAAAAUGAGAAAUAGGACAAAAUGUAAGAUAAGUGGAAGAUGCAAAAUCACUAUUUUUAUUAAUACAGACUAAAUUAAGUAAUAUAGCUCUGAGUAAACACAAAUAGGCCUGUUAAUUAAAACUGCAAAUUUGGCAGACUAACCCAUCAUAUCAUGGUAGUGUUAGACUAGGACAGGCCCGUGUGUACAAAGGCUGACCAGGUAGGAUUAAAGGCACGGAGGAAAGGAGAAGAGCUCCCGGUCUCCGUGGGUAGCAUCUCAUGUCAGUCUGAGGAAAAGAGGAGGGGAGGUGAAUUUGAGCAUGUCCAGUUUAUUCUUCCCAAAUUUACCAACUGGAUAAGUCAUUCCACUUCCUCUGAGAUGGUGAGGACAAGGUGCAGAGAGAAUCCUGAAGUAUUCCACCAACGGAAUUCCCCUGACGUGGAAGGAAGCAUCGGAACUCUCGUCCUCAACAUUAAGUACUGGAGAUAGAAAAGUGAACAAGACAACGCACUUCCCUUCGAAGGACUCACAGAGAGUCUUAUCAUAACAGAGAGGUAUCUAAAGAUAGAGAUCUAGGAGCUAGCAAGUCGGAAUUUGGUUGCGUUCUGAAUCUACUCCUAACUUGCUCUGUGAUCCAAGAACCGAAGGAAAAGGAAAAGGAAAAAAGACUCUUUACUUGGGAAAUGCUACUGGAAAUGUAAAACGACAUACGUUGCUCACGUUUGUGGCUGGCAUUAUAUUUCUGUAGGAUGGCACUGGUCUAGAGAAUUUCCUCUGUUCCAUCUAGACCCUGAGAAGCUGGAACUGCACAUACCAAGAGAGAAAGAAAAAAAAGUAAACAUGGUCCCUACCUUUUUGAGACAUAAGAUUGAAAAAAGAAGAAAAAGAAAUAAUAAACAAAUCGUGAUACACGCCAUAAAGUAAAUACAAGUUGUUGAAAUAGAAAAUAAACAUGGAGGGGGCCUUAGGUGAGCCAGAGAGUCAUCAAGAAUUGUCUCUUAGGGCAAGUUAUUUUUGCUAUGAGCUCAAGAUAACAGCUUAAGUACAGCGUGCUAAGAUGGAAAACAAAGCUUUAGACUCAGAUUAUUUUUUAAGUUGAAACCUAGAAGAUGAGAAGAACUCAAAUGAUGGACAGAUUGAAAUUUUUGGUCUUUUGUUAACCCUGAUGCAAUCAGGUGAUAGCCUCAGCCAAGUUUGAGAAAAGGAGCAGAUUUUGCCCUUUCAAGCAGGAAGAUAUGCCAAUACCACCGACUGGCAUUUGAUUUUCACCUUUUAACAAGCAUGUCUCAGUCUCUUUUAUCAUCAGUGGUAUCCAGAGACCUCUCACACUGUGUUCAUUUUAUUCACCAAAUGGAAAUCAGCAAUGUGUAGUGACAUCCAACUAAUUUCUGGGAAGAAUAAUAUUGAGGAUUCUGUCACAAAAGUUACAGAAGCCAAGAUUUACUAGAAAAUUAGGUUAGUUGUGUCCGGGCAACGUUAACAAGUCACAGUCCUGUCCAUGUUCUCUAAUUUUUUUCAUUUCUAACAACAAGGAUCAUAUAUGUACACAUUUAUGCAAGUAAAUAUUGUCAUUUUGUCGUUGACCCUUGUCUCUAUCUGUUGGUUCACAAAAAGAGAUAAGGGAGGUCCUUAGAAGAAGGGACUGUUGAACAAUCUCCCCAGUUCUGCUGCAUGCUAACAGACAAAGCAGGAAUUGGAAUUCAUCUUGCAAGCUUUCGGGUCCCUAACUGUUCUGAAUCAUCUUUUUCUGAUUAGUGGAGAGACAGCAUUUUAAUAAGGGAGUCUCUGUAGAUGCAGCGUUCUUGUCACAGCCAGAGAGCGUGACUUUGUUAUGUCACCCUGCCCUGGGGAGAAGACUGAAGAACCAUUUCAUUUGUAGGACAAGUGUGUGUAGACACAGUGCUUAUCUCAAGAGUUUCAAAAGCUCCAGAUGUUACUUCAAAAUUCAAUCAAACUUAAGGCAUUAAAAUAGAAAUCCACAUUCACAUUAUCAUAACAAAAUUAUUUACAAUCUUAGGUCUGUAGCUUCUAGUAUACCCAAAAGGAAUGUUCCGAGGAUUUUCAUCUGCUUAUGAGGGGUGGUUUAUUCCUUGGUUCAUUCAUUCGUUCAUUUAGUCAUUAAACAAACAUGUAUUUUUG